rnacentral:lncRNA from 1 species
GAAAAAUAUUAAAAAUUGAUAAGAGCCAGGUAGAAUGCUUCUUUUAUAAGAAGCUGGGUCAUUAGAAGAGGAAUUAUCCUAUUUAUAUAGCCACUUUUGAUCCGAACAGGCCUAAGAACAAGAAAAAAAGCAAACGAUUGCUUCACAAGGUACUUAUAUGUAACUCCUUGAAUUUUUCUAUUUGUGAUACUACUAUCUGAGUAUUGGAUAUCGAAAGUCC